rnacentral:rRNA from 1 species
AUAUCAAUAAGCGGAGGAAAAGAAACCAACAGGGAUUGCCCCAGUAACGGCGAGUGAAGCGGCAACAGCUCAAAUUUGAAAUCUGGCCCUUCCAGGGUCCGAGUUGUAAUUUGCAGAGGAUGCUUCGGCGUUGGCGCCGGGUCAAGUCCCCUGGAACGGGGCGCCCAAGAGGGUGAGAGCCCCGUACCCACCCGGAUGCCCUCCGCCGUGUGAAGCGCCUUCGAAGAGUCGAGUUGUUUGGGAAUGCAGCUCUAAGCGGGAGGUAAAUUUCUUCUAAAGCUAAAUACCGGCCAGAGACCGAUAGCGCACAAGUAGAGUGAUCGAAAGAUGAAAAGCACUUUGGAAAGAGAGUUAAAAAGCACGUGAAAUUGUUGAAAGGGAAGCUCUUGCCGCCAGACUUGCCGUGGUUGCUCAGCCGCCCCUCGGGGCGGUGCACUCUUCCGUCGGCAGGCCAACGUCGGUUCGGGCGGUCGGAGAAAGGCCCUGGGAAUGUGGCACCCUUCGGGGUGUGUUAUAGCCCAGGGCGUAAUGCGGCCUGCCCGGUCCGAGGGACGCGUUCGCGAGGACGUUGGCGUAAUGGCUGCAAGCGACCCGUCUUGAAACACGGACCAAGGAGUCUAACAUCUAUGCGAGUGUCUGGGCGUCAAACCCACGCGCGUAAUGAAAGUGAACGGAGGUGGGAACCCCCUCGAGGGGUGCACCAUCGACCGAUCCUGAUGUCUUCGGAUGGAUUUGAGUAAGAGCAUAGCUGUUGGGACCCGAAAGAUGGUGAACUAUUCCCGGAUAGGGUGAAGCCAGAGGAAACUCUGGUGGAGGCUCGCAGCGGUUCUGACGUGCAAAUCGAUCGUCAAAUCUAGGAAUAGGGGCGAAAGACUAAUCGAACCAU